AUGCCAGAAGAAUGGAGACGGAGUAUAUUAGUACCAAUCUUCAAGAACAAGGGGGAUGUUCAGAGUUGUACUAAUUACCAUGGAAUUAAGCUGAUGAGCCAUACAAUGAAGCUAUGGGAGAGAGUCAUUGAGCACCGCUUAAGAAGAAUGACAAGCGUGACCAAAAAUCAGUUUGGUUUCAUGCCUGGGAGGUCGACCAUGGAAGCCAUUUUCUUGGUACGACAACUUAUGGAGAGAUAUAGGGAGCAUAAGAAGGACUUGCAUAUGGUGUUCAUUGACUUGGAGAAGGCCUAUGAUAAGAUACCGCGGAAUGUCAUGUGGUGGGCCUUGGAGAAACACAAAGUCCCAGCAAAGUACAUUACCCUCAUCAAGGACAUGUACAAUAAUGUUGUGACAAGUGUUCGAACAAGUGAUGUCGACACCAAUGACUUCCCGAUUAAGAUAGGACUGCAUCAGGGGUCAGCUUUGAGCCCUUAUCUUUUUGCAUUGGUGAUGGAUGAGGUCACAAGGGGUAUACAAGGAGAUAUCCCAUGGUGUAUGCUCUUUGCGGAUGAUGUGGUGCUAGUUGACGAUAGUCGGACGGGGGUAAAUAGGAAGUUAGAGUUAUGGAGACAAACCUUGGAAUCGAAAGGGUUUAGGCUUAGUAGAACUAAAACCGAGUACAUGAUGUGCGGUUUCAGUACUACUAGCUGUGAGGAGGAGGAGGUUAGCCUUGAUGGCCAGGUGGUACCUCGGAAGGACACCUUUCGGUAUUUGGGGUCAAUGUUGCAGGAGGAUGGGGGUAUUGAUGAAGAUGUGAACCAUCGAGUCAAAGCCGGAUGGAUGAAGUGGCGCCAAGUUUCUGGCAUUCUCUAUGACAAGAGAGUGCCACAAAAGCUAAAAGGCAAGUUCUACAGGACGGCGGUUCGACCCGCAAUGUUGUAUGGCGCGGAGUGUUGGCCGACUAAAAGGCGACAUGUUCAACAGUUAGGUGUGGCGGAGAUGCGUAUGUUGAGAUGGAUGUGUGGCCACACGAGGAAGGAUCGAGUCCGGAAUGAUGAUAUACGAGAUAGAGUUGGGGUAGCACCAAUUGAGGAGAAGCUUGUCCAACAUCGUUUGAGAUGGUUUGGGCAUAUUCAGCGCAAGCCUCCAGAAGCCCCAGUGCAUAGCGGACGGCUAAAGCGUGCGGAGAAUGUCAAGAUAGGGCGGGGUCGACCGAUUUUGACAUGGGAGGAGUCCGUUAAGAGAGACCUGAAGGAUUGGAGUAUCGACAAAGAGCUAGCUAUGGACAGGGGUGCGUGGAAGCUUGCUAUCCAUGUGCCAGAGCCAUGA
rnacentral:rRNA from 1 species